rnacentral:misc_RNA from 1 species
GAUGAAGACGUAGCGAAAUGCGAUAAGUAAUGUGAAUUGCAGAAUUCAGUGAAUCAUCGAAUCUUUGAACGCAUAUUGCGCCCGCCAGUAUUCUGGCGGGCAUGCCUGUUCGAGCGUCAUUACAACCCUCAGGCCCCCGGGCCUGGCGUUGGGGAUCGGCGGAAGCCCCCUGCGGGCACAACGCCGUCCCCCAAAUACAGUGGCGGUCCCGCCGCAGCUUCCAUUGCGUAGUAGCUAACACCUCGCAACUGGAGAGCGGCGCGGCCACGCCGUAAAACACCCAACUUCUGAAUGUUGACCUCGAAUCAGGUAGGAAUACCCGCUGAACUUAAGCAUAUCAAUAAGCGGAGGA